UUUCUCUCUUCCUUCCUCCUCUCUGGCUUUCCCGUCUUUCUAAGAUCUGUUCGCCAUGGAUGUUUUUUCCUGGUUUUCGUCGUUGAAUUUGGGUAGAUCUUUUCCCGAUCUACAAUUCGAUGGUGGUUUCGAGCGAAUUAAGCGUUUGGAAGCUGUUCGAUCUCCGGUAUUCCAUGGCUACAGUUCGAGCAUCUCUCCUCAUCUUAUGAGCAUCUGAUCAGGGACGAUAUUGAUGCUCGUGAUAGAUCUGAGAAGAAGCUUCGAGAGAGACGAUUCAUGCCGUUCUAUACCGCAGAUCUGGCGGAAUCGAAGCAGAUCUUGAUGAAUAUCAACAAAUCUUGGCCGAUCGUGGUUCUUUGUAAACAUUGUAUCAUAUUUUGAUGGUGAUGCAAUAUUAUGUUGAGGUUAUUGGGAUAUGGGGAGGGAUUUUUGGGGUUAAAGGUUGUUUAGAGGGAUGUAUAAGAUAUCGGAGACGGAAGGCCCGAGGGAGGCCUGGGUUCCGAUCGAUCUUUGUCAUCCGACCUUUGCCAUGACAGGUGCGCUUGCUUGGCAGGUCACAAAAUCUUAAUAAAAAAAAGAAAUUUUUUGGUUUUGGAGGGAGAUCGCACGGGGAUUGCCCGGGAUCUUUCCUUCGGUGUGUGCGUGUGCUUGUGUGUCCUGCUUUUUUUCUUUUUUCUCGUUCUGUUCUCUAUAUCCUCGCUUGACUUUACACAACG